rnacentral:rRNA from 1 species
UACGAAGGGGGCGAGCGUUGUUCGGAAUUACUGGGCGUAAAGGGCGCGUAGGCGGCGACUCUAGUCAGAUGUGAAAGUCCUGGGCUUAACCUGGGGACUGCAUUUGAUACUGGGUUGCUUGAAUUCGGGAGAGGAUAGCGGAAUUCCCAGUGUAGAGGUGAAAUUCGUAGAUAUUGGGAAGAACACCGGUGGCGAAGGCGGCGAGCUGGUCCAUUACUGACGCUGAGGCGCGACAGCGUGGGGAGCAAACAGG